rnacentral:rRNA from 1 species
AUACCGUACCCGUACCGUAAACCGACACAGGUGGAUGAGGAGAGAAUCCUAAGGCCGGCGGAAGAAGCAUUGUCAAGGAACUCGGCAAAAUGGCCCCGUAACUUAGGGAUAAGGGGUGCCUGGGAAACCAGGCCGCAGAGAAUAGGCUCAAGCAACUGUUUAGCAAAAACACAGGUCUAUGCGAAACCGAAAGGUGAGGUAUAUGGGCUGACGCCUGCCCGGUGCUGGAAGGUUAAGAGGAGAGGUUAGCGCAAGCGAAGCUUUGAAUUUAAGCCCCAGUAAACGGCGGCCGUAACUAUAACGGUCCUAAGGUAGCGAAAUUCCUUGUCGGGUAAGUUCCGACCCGCACGAAAGGCGUAAUGAUUUGAGCGCUGUCUCGACAAUGCAUCCGGUGAAAUUGAAGUACCAGUGAAGAUGCUGGUUACCUGCGCCAGGACGGAAAGACCCCAUGGAGCUUUACUCCAGUCUGGUACUGGGACUCGGUAUUGCAUGUACAGGAUAGGUGGGAGGCUAGGAGAUGGUAACGCCAGUUGCCAUGGAGCCGCUGUUGGGAUACCACCCUUGCAGUAUUGGGUUUCUAACCAGCCGCCGUGACCCGGCGGUGGGACAAUGCCAGACGGGGAGUUUGACUGGGGCGGUCGCCUCCGAAAGGGUAUCGGAGGCGCCCAAAGGUUCCCUCAGAAUGGACGGAAACCAUUCGAAGAGUGCAAAGGCAGAAGGGAGCUUGACUGCGACACCGACGGGUGGAGCAGGUACGAAAGUAGGGCUUAGUGAUCCGGUGGUAUUAAGUGGGAAUGCCAUCGCUCAACGGAUAAAAGCUACCCUGGGGAUAACAGGCUUAUCACUCCCAAGAGUUCACAUCGACGGAGUGGUUUGGCACCUCGAUGUCGGCUCAUCGCAUCCUGGGGCUGUAGUAGGUCCCAAGGGUUGGGCUGUUCGCCCAUUAAAGCGGUACGCGAGCUGGGUUCAGAACGUCGUGAGACAGUUCGGUCCCUAUCCGGCGUGGGCGUAGGAUAUCUGAGAGGAGCUGUCCUUAGUACGAGAGGACCGGGAUGGACGGGCCGCUGGUGCAUCGGUUAGACUGCCAAGUCUACGGCCGAGUAGCCAAGCCCGGAAGGGAUAAACGCUGAAGGCAUCUAAGCGUGAAGCCCCCCUUAAGAUGAGAUAUCCCAUUCGAAAGAAGUAAACCCCCUUGAAGACGACGAGGUAGAUAGGGCAGAGGUGGAAGUGCAGCAAUGCAUGGAGCUGACUGUUACUAAUCGGGUGAGGGCUUGACCAA